GACGAACGCUGGCGGCGUGCCUAAUACAUGCAAGUCGAGCGAGUCUGCCUUGAAGAUCGGAGUGCUUGCACUCUGUGAAACAAGAUACAGGCUAGCGGCGGACGGGUGAGUAACACGUGGGUAACCUGCCCAAGAGAUCGGGAUAACACCUGGAAACAGAUGCUAAUACCGGAUAACAACAGAUGAUGCCUAUCAACUGUUUAAAAGAUGGUUCUGCUAUCACUCUUGGAUGGACCUGCGGUGCAUUAGCUAGUUGGUAGGGUAACGGCCUACCAAGGCGAGGAUGCAUAGCCGAGGUGAGAGACUGAUCGGCCACAUUGGGACUGAGACACGGCCCAAACUCCUACGGGAGGCAGCAGUAGGGAAUCUUCGACAAUGGACGCAAGUCUGAUGGAGCAACGCCGCGUGAGUGAAGAAGGGUUUCGGCUCGUAAAGCUCUGUUGUUGGUGAAGAAGGACAGGGGUAGUAACUGACCUUUGUUUGACGGUAAUCAAUUAGAAAGCCACGGCUAACUACGUG
rnacentral:rRNA from 1 species